ACUAGGUUGGGAGUUCCUGUUGU
rnacentral:miRNA from 1 species